GCUGGGUGAUAAGCCGUCAUCUUCUCCACCUUCUCUUGGACUGUGGCUUUCGUCUUGUCCAUACCGGACUUCGCCGACGCUGCAAUGUUUGAUGCUGUUGCCUUCGCCGACUCCAUCUUCGAGAUAGAAAUUAAGAGAGA